rnacentral:snRNA from 1 species
AGUACAGUAGUGUGUUAUCUUAAAAACGACAAAAAUAAGCAUGGCCCCCGCGCAAGGAUGACACGCAAAUUCGUGAAGCGUUCUUCUUUUUU